rnacentral:lncRNA from 1 species
AUGGAAGUAAACCACCAAAUGUGUAUGUCAAUGUCAACGUGUUUAUGUUCAAUGUAAAUCAUGUAAUGUGUAUCCCAAAAUGUAUCAUGUAUGGUAAGCGAAAUGUAUCAACUUAAACCAUAUGUAAAAUGCACAAAACAAGUCGUUGAAGUAAAACGUGGUUUAGAUCAACGUUAUGUUCUGUGGAAAAAUGCAUGCUCUAUUGAUAUUAACAUUUAUGCGGUAUUGUAAACUAUGCAUACAUCCAAGCCUUGAGACUGUGGCGAUAAACCCUUAAACAAAUUAAAGGCUUAUCUAAGUUAUGUAUAUCGAAUUCGGUCAUUCCUUCCAAUCCUAUCAAACCCAGGAUUUCAGAAACGGGAGUUGUCAAUUUCUAUGGUACCACUACCUACUAACGAACGGCGUAGCUAAUGUUAAUGAAUGUAUUGUCCCAUGUUAAACAAACCAAAUGUCAUAACAAAAUGAAGGCAUGUGAUGUAAACAAUUGUACUAAGUAUGCUAAUAAACAUAUGCAACAGAAAUGUAAUGUAAAUCAAUGUACUAAGUACGCACAAAAUG